rnacentral:tRNA from 1 species
GCUUCCGUGGUGUAAUGGAUAGCACAAUGGUCUUCGGAACCAUUAGUUCGGGUUCAAAUCCUGACGGAAGCACCA